UGGGGAAUAUUGCACAAUGGGCGCAAGCCUGAUGCAGCCAUGUCGCGUGUAUGAAGAAGGCCUUCGGGUUGUAAAGUACUUUCAGCGGGGAGGAAGGCGAUAAGGUUAAUAACCUUGUCGAUUGACGUUACCCGCAGAAGAAGCACCGGCUAACUCCGUGCCAGCAGCCGCGGUAAUACGGAGGGUGCAAGCGUUAAUCGGAAUUACUGGGCGUAAAGCGCACGCAGGCGGUUUGUCAAGUCGGAUGUGAAAUCCCCGGGCUCAACCUGGGAACUGCAUUCGAAACUGGCAGGCUAGAGUCUUGUAGAGGGGGGUAGAAUUCCAGGUGUAGCGGUGAAAUGCGUAGAGAUCUGGAGGAAUACCGGUGGCGAAGGCGGCCCCCUGGACAAAGACUGACGCUCAGGUGCGAAAGCGUGGGGAGCAAACA
rnacentral:rRNA from 1 species